rnacentral:tRNA from 1 species
GGCUGUAUGGCUUAGGUGGUAUAGCACCUGCCUCGAAAGUGGGAGGCCCUGACUUACAAACCCCAGUACUGCUA